rnacentral:rRNA from 1 species
UGAAGUAAGUAAGGGCGUACGGUGAAUGCCUUGGUGCCAACAGGCGAAGAAGGACGCGGCAAGCUGCGAAAAGCCUCGGGAAGCUGCAAGCAAGCGAUGAUCCGGGGAUAUCCGAAUGGGGUAACCUGAUCGAGGCAAUACUCGAUCGUUCAUACCUGAAUACAUAGGGUAUGAAACGCGAAACCCGCUGAAGUGAAACAUCUCAGUAAGCGGAGGAAAAGAAAGAGAAAUCGAUUCCGUAAGUAGUGGCGAGCGAAAGCGGAUGGAGCCCAAACCGAAGGUAUUCCUUCGGGGUUGUAGGACCACGUCAUAUUCGACCAUACUGGAUAGUAGAACAGCCUGGAAAGGCUGGCCGGAGAAGGUGAAAGCCCUGUAGACGAAAUCCAGAGUGGGAAUUAGUGGCAUCCUGAGUAAUACAUCACACGUGGAACGAUGUAUGAACCCGCGCGGACCACCGCGCAAGGCUAAAUACUAGUUGGCGACCGAUAGUGAACAAGUACCGCGAGGGAAAGGUGAAAAGAACCGCUGUGAGCGGAGUGAAAUAGAACCUGAAACCGUAUGUCUACAAAGUGUCAGAGCAGAGCAAUCUGCGAUGGCGUGCCUUUUGUUUAAUGAGUCUGCGAGUCAGUGUUUGUGGCAAGACUAAGGGCUUCCGGCCCGGAGUCGCAGCGAAAGCAAGUCCGAACAGGGCGCAAUAAGUCGCAGGUACUGGACCCGAAGCGGAGGUGACCUACCCUUGGCCAGGUUGAAGCAUGGGUAAAACCAUGUGGAGGACCGAACAGGUGAACGUUGAAAAGUUCUCUGAUGAGCUGAGGGUAGGAGUGAAAGGCUAAUCAAACCCCGUGAUAGCUGGUUCUCUUCGAAAUGCAUUUAGGUGCAGCGUCACGUGCUGAUGCGCGGGGGUAGAGCACUGACAAGGCUAGGGGGCACACCCGCUUACCAAACCUUAUCAAACUCCGAAUACCGUGCAAUGGAACGUGGCAGUGAGACAGUGGGGGAUAAGCUUCAUUGUCGAGAGGGAAACAACCCAGACCAGCAGCUAAGGUGCCUAAAUAACGCUCAGUGGAAAGGAUGUGGGAUUACACAGACAGUGAGGAUGUUGGCUUAGAAGCAGCCACCAUUUAAAAAAUGCGUAAUAGCUUACUCAUCGAGUGAUCCUGCGCCGAAAAUGAUUGGCGAUCAAGCGUUAUACCGAAGCUCUGGACUUUGCCGCAAGGCAGAGUGGUAGAAGAGCGUUGCAUGCGCGUCGAAGGGCGAUGGCGACUGACCCUGGAGCACAUGCAAGUGAGUAUGCAGACAUGAGUAACGUUAAGCCGGGUGAAAUCCCCGGCCGCCGUAAACCCGAGGUUUCCAGGGCAACGUGUUUCGUCCCUGGGUUAGCCGGGACCUAAGCCGAGGCCGAGAGGCGUAGGCGAUGGACAUCAGGUUAAUAAUCCUGAGCUCGCAACCCUUAAACUGGGGGGACGCAUGAGAAAAGAUGACUAGGUUAUUGAAUUCCGAGUUGAGUCUACGGACUCAGCGCAUCAUUGGAUCGAGUGCCAAGAAAAGCCCCAGCGUAUGCUAAGCGACCCGUACCGCAAACCGACACAGGUGGGUGGGUAGAAUAUACCAAGGCGUAAGAGUGAAACCUGGUUAAGGAACUCGGCAAAUUAGCCCCGUAACUUCGGAAGAAGGGGUGCCUGCAGCGAUGCAGGCCGCAGAGAAAUGGCCCAACCGACUGUUUAUCAAAAACACAGCACUCUGCAAAGACGCAAGUCGAAGUAUAGGGUGUGACACGUGACCAAUGCCGAAAGAUUAAGGCAAGGGGUUAGCCGCAAGGCGAAGCUCUAAACCCAAGUCCCGGUGAAUGUCGGCCGUAACUAUAACGGUCCUAAGGUAGCGAAAUUCCUUGUCGGGUAAGUUCCGACCUGCACGAAUCGUGAAACGAGUUGGGCACUGUCUCAACCAGGCGCUCAGUGAAAUUGUAGUGGCGGUGAAGAUGCCGCCUACCCGCAGAAGGACGGAAAGACCCUAUAGACCUUAACUGUAAGCUGUCAUUGUUUCUUCGGUUUUAAUGCUCAGAGUAAGUGGGAGACGCUGAAGACGCCCUUUAGGGGGCGUCCGAGUCAUCAAUGAGACACCACCCUUUGAAACUGGAGGAUCUAACCCUGAGCCGUGAAUCCGGCCAGAGGACCGUGUCAGCCGGUCAGUUUUACUGGGGCGGUAUCCUCCCAAAGAGUAACGGAGGAGCGCGAAGGUGGGCUCAGCCCGGUUGGCAACCGGGUGUCGAGUGCAUGGGCAUAAGCCCGCCUAACUGUGAGACCAACAAGUCGAGCAGAUGCGAAAGCAGGCCCAAGUGAUCCGGCGGUAGAAAGUGGAAUUGCCGUCGCUCAACGGAUAAAAGGUACCUUAGGGAUAACAGGCUGAUCACGCCCAAGAGUUCAUAUCGACGGCGUGGUUUGGCACCUCGAUGUCGGCUCGUCGCAUCCUGGGGCUGGAGAAGGUCCCAAGGGUCCGGCUGUUCGCCGGUUAAAGCGGCACGCGAGCUGGGUUCAGAACGUCGCGAGACAGUUCGGUCCUCUAUCCUCUGUGGGCGUUGGAAAAUUGAGGGGUUCAGACCUUAGUACGAGAGGACCGGGUCUGACGCACCACUGGUGCAUCGGUUGUACUGUCAAGUGCAUGGCCGAGUAGCUAAGUGCGGACGGGAUAAGCGCUGAAAGCAUCUAAGCGCCAAGCCCUUCCCAAGAUGAGUUUUCCCUACAGGUUCGUGGAAGACCACCACGUUGAUAGGUCGCAGGUGUAAGUGCAGCAAUGUAUUGAGCCGAGCGAUACUAAUUACCAAUUGACUUCAUCAU